GAUGAACGCUGGCGGCGUGCCUAAUACAUGCAAGUCGAGCGAACAGACGAGGAGCUUGCUCCUCUGACGUUAGCGGCGGACGGGUGAGUAACACGUGGAUAACCUACCUAUAAGACUGGGAUAACUUCGGGAAACCGGAGCUAAUACCGGAUAAUAUAUUGAACCGCAUGGUUCAAUAGUGAAAGACGGUUUUGCUGUCACUUAUAGAUGGAUCCGCGCCGCAUUAGCUAGUUGGUAAGGUAACGGCUUACCAAGGCAACGAUGCGUAGCCGACCUGAGAGAGUGAUCGGCCACACUGGAACUGAGACACGGUCCAGACUCCUACGGGAGGCAGCAGUAGGGAAUCUUCCGCAAUGGGCGAAAGCCUGACGGAGCAACGCCGCGUGAGUGAUGAAGGUCUUCGGAUCGUAAAACUCUGUUAUUAGGGAAGAACAACUGUGUAAGUAACUAUGCACGUCUUGACGGUACCUAAUCAGAAAGCCACGGCUAACUACGUG
rnacentral:rRNA from 1 species